CAAAACCAAAAACAAAAAGAAGGUGACGAGAGUUGGACCAUUCAUUCAGCUCCUCACAUGAUCCUGCGAAAUCUGUGAAAGUUGGUGACUGAUCAGACUUGAGUCUUGACUCAGACUGAGCAGGAGAAAAAAUCUGAUCAACUUCUAGUAUUAGAAAGAAGACUUGUUCUAGUCACGUGGUCCACUUUUAGUCUGCUGCUGCUCUGCUGCUUGGCUUCAUGCACGAUCUCAUGGUCCAUCAUCUGCAUCAGAUAAAAACUGAGCAAGAUUCAGGGGACUCUAGGAGAAGACAAU